AGGGGUGUGAAGUCCCUGCGGGCGG
rnacentral:piRNA from 1 species